rnacentral:rRNA from 1 species
GACGGCGGAUGCAAGUGUUAUCCGGAAUCACUGGGCGUAAAGCGUCUGUAGGUGGUUUAAUAAGUCAACUGUUAAAUCUUGAGGCUCAACCUCAAAAUCGCAGUCGAAACUAUUAGGCUAGAGUAUAGUAGGGGUAAAGGGAAUUUACAGUGGAGCGGUGAAAUGCGUAGAGAUUGGAAAGAACACCGAUGGCGAAGGCACUUUACUGGGCUAUUACUAACACUCAGAGACGAAAGCUAGGGUAGCAAAUGGG